UAAGACUCCUAAAUUCGACUUCGAAAUACAAGAAUAGUAACUAAGCAUAAGUCCUUAGGAAUCAAACCGGUUAUAACUCAAACACACACUAAUGGUCACCUAAUUAAUACGCGUUCAGUACAUGAACCACAGUAGCAACACCCUCUGGCGCAUUCCAAUAUGAUUCCCAAUUCUUUAGCCGUCACCUUCCUGAUCCUAAGCCAUAA
rnacentral:lncRNA from 1 species